ACUCAAAUGAAUUGACGGGGGCCCGCACAAGCGGUGGAGCAUGUGGUUCAAUUCGACGCAACGCGAAGAACCUUACCUGGGCUCGAACGGCCAGUCAACGGCGGUGGAAACAUCGCUACCCCGCAAGGGGGUCUGGUCGAGGUGCUGCAUGGCUGUCGUCAGCUCGUGUCGUGAGAUGUUGGGUUAAGUCCCGCAACGAGCGCAACCCUUGUCCUGUGUUGCCAUCAUUUAGUUGGGAACUCGCAGGAGACCGCCAGGGAUAACCUGGAGGAAGGUGGGGAUGACGUCAAGUCCUCAUGGCCUUUAUGUCCAGGGCUACACACGUGCUACAAUGGCCGGUACAAAGCGUCGCAAACUCGCGAGAGGGAGCCAAUCGCAAAAAACCGGUCUCAGUUCGGAUUGCAGGCUGCAACUCGCCUGCAUGAAGCUGGAAUCGCUAGUAAUGGCAGAUCAGCACGCUGCCGUGAAUACGUUCCCGGGCCUUGCACACACCGCCCGU
rnacentral:rRNA from 1 species